rfam:Dorea sp. 42_8 Ley3_66761_scaffold_6839, whole genome shotgun sequence.
CAGUUGGUGAAAGUCCAACUACGGUAAUUACCAGUAAGCCGUAUAGUCAAACUCGGUGUGUUGUAGUAAUACAGGGUGCUAAGCGAGUGGGUUAUGUGCUCUCGACAAGAGGAGCGAGCAAUCAUGCAGACCGUAACAUUA